UGCAGGAAUUUAGCAGUCUUCUGGAAGUUACUAAGGAGACGCUUGAAGGAGGGGGGAGCAGACUGCUCAUGUUGUCUGACUGAAGAAAACCUGCUACUGGAGAACAGUUCUGAGUUUCAGGGGAGUCGUGUGGGCGUGGCUUCUCAUACAAGGGGCCCUUUGUACUCCUUUAAACCCACUGAGAACAGGUUCAUUGCAGUAGAAGAAUCCAGUUAAGUCAAUGGCACCGACCUUCCCCAUAUCUCCCAGUGAGGUGAAUACUGCUAAGUGGAGAAGCUCAGCCGUUCUCUGGUCCAGAGCUUUGACUGGUGGUCUGUGGUGUAGACAUGGUGACCACUGAUUGGAUGACCUCUAUGCCCUCCAGAGAGGAACUGACACCAAAAGGCCCUGCAUGCCCUCAGGUAAGAUACUCUAAUUAGACAACUUUCCUGAGCUUAGGGAUUUCCUCUCAGGGCCAAGAGCAAAGGCCAGAACCCUGUCUGGUAAGGGUAAUCCUUCAGUGGGCACAGUGUGUUGUGUGGACCUUGGCAGACAUUAACUGUUUCUAUGACAGGGCGAGGUAAAUAAAGACACUGGUAUACACAUCUG